rnacentral:rRNA from 1 species
CAUGAGGAAUAUUUGGCAAUGGAGGAAACUCUGAACCAGCCAUGCCGCGUGAAGGAUGACGGCCCUAUGGGUUGUAAACUUCUUUUAUAGAGGAAGAAACUUGUCUACGUGUAGACAACUGACGGUACUCUACGAAUAAGGAUCGGCUAACUCCGUGCCAGCAGCCGCGGUAAUACGGAGGAUCCAAGCGUUAUCCGGAUUCAUUGGGUUUAAAGGGUCCGUAGGCGGAUUUUUAAGUCAGUGGUGAAAGCCGACAGCUCAACUGUCGAACUGCCAUUGAUACUGGAAAUCUUGAGUACAAAUGAAGUAGGCGGAAUGAGUCAUGUAGCGGUGAAAUGCAUAGAUAUGACUCAGAACACCGAUUGGAAGGCAGCUUACUAACAUGUAACUGACGCUGAGGGACGAAAGCGUGGGGAGCGAACAGGAUUAGAUAACCCUGGUAGUCCACGCCGUAAACGAUCAUCACUCGCUGUUGGCGAUAUACUGUCAGCGGCCAAGCGAAAGUAUUAAGUGAUGCACC